rnacentral:lncRNA from 1 species
AUAAAUGACCAUGUGAUGGGUGCUCCAUCAAUGAUGAAAGGAAUGAAUGAGUACCUUUUAUGGCAUGGUGGGAGGUGGAGGUGGCGGGAGCACUUGAAGGUGGAGGAGAUUGGUACAUGCCUGCCCCUUGUGACUGAAUCUGGAACAGGUGCACGUUUCUGCCUGCUUCGUGAAGCAAACUGCCAAAGUCGAACCAAGCUGUACUCAUGCUUCUUCCUGUUUUGGGAAUGAUCUCCAACUUUUCUUUGUUUGCCAAAAAAUAAUCAUCCUUCCAGGACCAAAUCAAAAGUCAACUCUUC